rnacentral:rRNA from 1 species
GAUGAACGCUGGCGGCGUGCCUAAUACAUGCAAGUCGAGCGAACGGACGAGAAGCUUGCUUCUCUGAUGUUAGCGGCGGACGGGCGAGUAACACGUGGAUAACCUACCUAUAAGACUGGGAUAAUUUCGGGAAACCGGAGCUAAUACCGGAUAAUAUUUUGAACCGCAUGGUUCAAAAGUGAAAGACGGUCUUGCUGUCACUUAUAGAUGGAUCCGCGCUGCAUUAGCUAGUUGGUAAGGUAACGGCUUACCAAGGCAACGAUGCAUAGCCGACCUGAGAGGAUGAUCGGCCACACUGGAACUGAGACACGGUCCAGACUCCUACGGGAGGCAGCAGUAGGGAAUCUUCCGCAAUGGGCGAAAGCCUGACGGAGCAACACCGCGUGAGUGAUGAAGGUCUUCGGAUCGUAAAACUCUGUUAUUAGGAAAGAACAUAUGUAUGAGUAUCUGUGCACAUCUUGACGGUACCUAAUCAGAAAGCCACGGCUAACUUCGUG